UUUUUCUUUUUUUUUCAUUUUAAUGCACGAGUCUCUACAAAUUUUAUUUUGCUUUAAAUCAGCAGCACUUCCUCUAUUGUCAUACUGGGGCAAAAAGACAACGUAUGGGUUAACAUCCAAGUUAACAUGCUGAUGCUGUAAUGGGAGCUAGCAAUUUGACACAAGAUAUUACAGCUUUUGAAUAUGUUGCAUACUUUUGAGUAAGAGAUCAAAGAAGAUUCCAUCUGUCAUAUAUCUGAAAGGGGGGAAAGAAUUUCUAAGGGAAAACUUCUAAUUGAUGACUGCAGAAAUAACUUCCUUCAGCUGCUCCAUGGUGCAAUGGUGAUGCAGCUACCACCACACAUUCCAUUUUGGCACAUACUACCCCAUAUAAGUCAAAAAAGAUUGAGAAACCCUGCCCACCAACCCUCACCCAUGCCCACUCUUCGUUCUUGCACUUAAGACAGCUUUGGUAUGGUACAAUAAAAAUGCUAGACAAAAUACUAAAAAUUCAGAAGAACAAACUAAACAAUACAAUUAGAUGGGACACAAUGAGGUAAUGAGUUAAUUUUCCAUUUAAGGCUGUUUGGAGAGUUCAAAUGUAAAAUGCCUUUGAUAUUUAUAUGUUUCUCACAAAGAUACUGGGAGGUGGAAGGGGUAUCUUGAAACAUACUCAUGCCAAACAUGCAGUUUUGGUUUAGCUAGAGUUCCUGUUGUGUAUGUUUGUGCACUUGUUUUAUGCAAGCUUACUUCUGAUAAGCCUGAAAGUGCUAAUGGCUAUGCUGGUUACUUUAAAAAAAGCAAAUUCCAAUUUGGAAUUCAUAAGGAGUGUGAAAUAGACUGGUUAUUUUUAGGUUAGAACAAAGAUGGUAAAACAGGAAGCUCAGCUGAGAGAAGCAUAAGGCCAAACACAAUAAAUAUUACUUCUUGUAUUGACUCUCAUCCUCUCACAUCACUAGUUACAUCCCUUCUGCCUUCCAAGGUAAGAAUUUCUGUCAAAAAUAAACACAGGUUCAUGUUUGCAUAACAUAUCUACUACUGUAGUUACCUGUACUUCAGCUUUUGGGCAAACGGCUUAAAAAAAAGAAACAAGAAGAAAAAUACAAAUUUUAAUCACUGUAUCAGGGUGAAUUCAGUCCCUCUCUUUUAUGUGCUUUCACUUGAAAGAAAAUGGUCGUGAGGGUUAAGAGUAAGAGGAAAACAAAAUCUGAGCCUCAGUGGUCCUUUAUUUUGCACCAUAUAAGCCUUUUCUGUUUUAUCUGUAUUUGCAGAUUUUGACUAUCCAAACUCACAGAUAGUAAGUAAGCUUACAUCUUGCUUCCUCUCCAACUCAUGAUGCUUUUGCCACAAAAUGUUUUCAAGCCAGUGUGUGGUUAUUCAUAUUGGAAUUCAAAAAUCACCAGCCUAACAGUUUAAUUUUAAUUUAAAAGGAUGUAGAUUUAAACUAGUCACCAAACUUGCCCACUUACAUUCAUAAAAAGAAAAUUCUUCCCUGUGCAGAGGUAAUCUGUAUAUUUAAAAUCUUCCGUUAUUCCACUGCUAACAUUUCAGAUGUCUCAAUUUCUUCUGUUUUUUCUACUGUUAAGAGUCACUAAAGCAACACAUAACUCUAUCAUAUUUAAGGCUAUGUGGUAACAGUCCUCGUCUGAGGGAUAUGCAGCUAUAAACUUCAGCUUUGAGAUUUCAUAAUGCGGAAAGUGAUAGGGAAAAAAUGCUGCCAGUGUUUGAAGACAGUCUUGUAGUGGAUGAAAUCGUCAGACAGCUCUCUCUAAAAAUUACACUGCUUUUUAACAGAGAGAAGCUGUAGUUUUUAAAGUGUUAAUUAGAUGUUAAAAAACUAUUCUCACCCCUGAGUUCCACUACCAAUCUCAGCUGUACCGCAAGCCUAUUUUCCCUUUUUAGUGUGCUGCACUCAUUAAGUGUCUCAAAGCUAAAAAACAGUGACAUCCACAUGUCACUGUGCACUUGACAUACAGAUGUCAAGUGUACCAAUAAAACCUGGGAAAAAAUCUUACCUAUUAGGUAUGCUAAUCUGAAGUUUCACCUAAAAGACUUGAAGAUAGGGAAAGAAACAGUAAUGACAUUUCAAUAUGACGGCACUCCUUUAAAUGGUAAAUUGUUUUUCCCCCCCCUUGAAAUCGUACCAGAUUUAAAGCAAUUGCAACUAGUUAAAAGUGCCAUUGGUUGUGAACAACUAAAUAUCUAUUACUAUUAAAAACAAGUUAAUCACAGUUAGUGUAUUUAAAAAUAAACAAACCACACAACCCUUGAAAAUAAAGCACUCUUUGGUGGACAAUAGUCACUUUGUGUACUCAGUACUGCGGCUUCAUAAAAAACUUCAUACAAAAUAAGAAAGAACAGCCCAUUAACACAGGAGAGUACCAAUACUAUAAGAAAAAAGCUAUUGUGGUUGAUUUUCAGACCCAAGUGGAGACUUGAGCCCAGUCUGAAUGGACAACACAGAUUUAUAUAUUUAAAAGCUCCCACCAUCUUUUAAUUUCUGGUGGUCAGCAGCUAAGUGAUUGCCAUCACAAUUUAUACACAUGCAUCAUACAUACUAGCAAGCCCUCUUUAUAAUAGAGAGCUUAAGUAUUUACACCUGAGUUUAAAUGUACAUAGAUUUUGUUGGUUUUGUCUGAGAAGGUCUUAGCACAUUAGGAACACGUCUACCACGCAUGUUGACAGUUCAUUUUAUUCUACGAGUAUGGAAGAGAUUCUUCUGUUUCACUUUUGCUAAAAGAUGGAGCCAAAGUAAUCUUCCUUGAAUUGCAUUACAUCCCCUUUAGUCAUGUCCCCUUCAUUCUUGAAUAUCCUCUUCAACACUGGUUGCUUAUUUGAAAUUUAACGCAAUACUGUUCUAGCCCUUGGGAUGGAUUGGCUGCUGAAAUAAAACAUAUUUAAGGAAAAAAGUUAAAAAUGCACUUGAUAUGUAUUUCAAGUGAACCCUUCCGGCAAGGUAAAAUGAGCAAACAAUACUUCAAAGAAAAGAAACGGAAGAUAAAAGUCACUGCAUUUAAGAACACAGCCGUAUUGGUUGUAAAGAAAGCAUGGACUGCUCUGAUCAUGGACAAUAUGAAGAAAGGCUCCAUUCCAUACAGAGAAGCAACAGAGGGUUCAAAGUACCAUAAUUUCAUUAAGCGCAUUUGCUGUAAAGCAUUCCUUUUCCUUCUCUCUGAGAUAUCAGACUGCAGGAAAGGUAGAAUAAUAAAGAAACAUCUAUUUUUUUUUAAAGCUAGAUUUAGAUUAUAUAUAGACAAGCUCUGAAAAGCUGCAGGUAGUUUUCAGUAUCUGAACAAGGGUGCAGAAGGCUGCUUUACAAUUCCCAGCAAAGCAAAAGCAUAUGAGAGUUUUUAAGCAUAUUCAUCUUUGUUAAUUUUUGUAAUAUACCUCUCUGGUUAACAGAAGUAAAGGAAUCUAUACAACACAGUUUUCAUAAAUUUUCCUCCAUACUCUCAAUUAUUUUUUGACCUGCAUUCCCUUAAGCACUUCUACCUACCAAAAUUCUUUCACCGCUCAACAUUUCAUUUCUAAUCAACAAAUUACUAUAUACAUAAUCCUAAUUCCA
ensembl:lncRNA